rnacentral:rRNA from 1 species
UACGUAGGUGACCAGCGUUGUCCGGAUUUACUGGGCGUAAAGAGCGCGCAGGCGGUCGUUCAAGUCGAGUGUGAAAGCCCCCGGCUCAACUGGGGAGGGUCAUUCGAUACUGAUCGACUUGAAGGCAGGAGAGGGAAGUGGAAUUCCCGGUGUAGUGGUGAAAUGCGCAGAUAUCGGGAAGAACACCCGUGGCGAAGGCGGCUCUCUGGGACGGUACUGACGCUGAGACGCGAAAGCGUGGGGAGCGAACAGG